rnacentral:rRNA from 1 species
UACGGGGGGGGCAAGCGUUGUUCGGAAUUACUGGGCGUAAAGGGUGCGUAGGCGGGUCUUUAAGUCAGGGGUGAAAUCCUGGAGCUCAACUCCAGAACUGCCUUUGAUACUGAAGAUCUUGAGUUCGGGAGAGGUGAGUGGAACUGCGAGUGUAGAGGUGAAAUUCGUAGAUAUUCGCAAGAACACCAGUGGCGAAGGCGGCUCACUGGCCCGAUACUGACGCUGAGGCACGAAAGCGUGGGGAGCAAACAGGG